UAAUGGGUCAGCGACUUAUAUUCUGUAGCAAGGUUAACCGAAUAGGGGAGCCGGAGGGAAACCGAGUCUUAAUUGGGCGUUAAGUUGCAGGGUAUAGACCCGAAACCCGGUGAUCUAGCCAUGGGCAGGUUGAAGGUUGGGUAACACUAACUGGAGGACCGAACCGACUAAUGUUGAAAAAUUAGCGGAUGACCUGUGGCUGGGGGUGAAAGGCCAAUCAAACCGGGAGAUAGCUGGUUCUCCCCGAAAGCUAUUUAGGUAGCGCCUCGUGAAUUCAUCUCCGGGGGUAGAGCACUGUUUCGGCUAGGGGGCCAUCCCGGCUUACCAACCCGAUGCAAACUGCGAAUACCGGAGAAUGUUAUCACGGGAGACACACGGCGGGUGCUAACGUCCGUCGUGAAGAGGGAAACAACCCAGACCGCCAGCUAAGGUCCCAAAGUCAUGGUUAAGUGGGAAACGAUGUGGGAAGGCCCAGACAGCCAGGAUGUUGGCUUAGAAGCAGCCAUCAUUUAAAGAAAGCGUAAUAGCUCACUGGUCGAGUCGGCCUGCGCGGAAGAUGUAACGGGGCUAAACCAUGCACCGAAGCUGCGGCAGCGAACGUAUCACCCAAGACAACUUUACGGAGUUGACGAUUGACGGAGCGAAGCGACGUCAAAGCGUUCAUUAAAGUCGAGUUGGCUUAGGGAUACGUUCGUUGGGUAGGGGAGCGUUCUGUAAGCCUGUGAAGGUGUGUCGUGAGGCAUGCUGGAGGUAUCAGAAGUGCGAAUGCUGACAUAAGUAACGAUAAAGCGGGUGAAAAGCCCGCUCGCCGGAAGACCAAGGGUUCCUGUCCAACGUUAAUCGGGGCAGGGUGAGUCGACCCCUAAGGCGAGGCCGAAAGGCGUAGUCGAUGGGAAACGGGUUAAUAUUCCCGUACUUGGUGUUACUGCGAAGGGGGGACGGAGAAGGCUAUGUUGGCCGGGCGACGGUUGUCCCGGUUUAAGCGUGUAGGUGUGUGUUCCAGGUAAAUCCGGUUCACUUUAACACUGAGGCGUGACGACGAGGCACUACGGUGCUGAAGCAACAAAUGCCCUGCUUCCAGGAAAAGCCUCUAAGCAUCAGGUAACAUCAAAUCGUACCCCAAACCGACACAGGUGGUCAGGUAGAGAAUACCAAGGCGCUUGAGAGAACUCGGGUGAAGGAACUAGGCAAAAUGGUGCCGUAACUUCGGGAGAAGGCACGCUGACACGUAGGUGAAGUGAUUUACUCAUGGAGCUGAAGUCAGUCGAAGAUACCAGCUGGCUGCAACUGUUUAUUAAAAACACAGCACUGUGCAAACACGAAAGUGGACGUAUACGGUGUGACGCCUGCCCGGUGCCGGAAGGUUAAUUGAUGGGGUCAGCGCAAGCGAAGCUCCUGAUCGAAGCCCCGGUAAACGGCGGCCGUAACUAUAACGGUCCUAAGGUAGCGAAAUUCCUUGUCGGGUAAGUUCCGACCUGCACGAAUGGCGUAAUGAUGGCCAGGCUGUCUCCACCCGAGACUCAGUGAAAUUGAACUCGCUGUGAAGAUGCAGUGUACCCGCGGCAAGACGGAAAGACCCCGUGAACCUUUACUAUAGCUUGACACUGAACAUUGAGCCUUGAUGUGUAGGAUAGGUGGGAGGCUUUGAAGUGUGGACGCCAGUCUGCAUGGAGCCGACCUUGAAAUACCACCCUUUAAUGUUUGAUGUUCUAACGUGGACCCGUAAUCCGGGUUGCGGACAGUGUCUGGUGGGUAGUUUGACUGGGGCGGUCUCCUCCUAAAGAGUAACGGAGGAGCACGAAGGUUGGCUAAUCCUGGUCGGACAUCAGGAGGUUAGUGCAAUGGCAUAAGCCAGCUUGACUGCGAGCGUGACGGCGCGAGCAGGUGCGAAAGCAGGUCAUAGUGAUCCGGUGGUUCUGAAUGGAAGGGCCAUCGCUCAACGGAUAAAAGGUACUCCGGGGAUAACAGGCUGAUACCGCCCAAGAGUUCAUAUCGACGGCGGUGUUUGGCACCUCGAUGUCGGCUCAUCACAUCCUGGGGCUGAAGUAGGUCCCAAGGGUAUGGCUGUUCGCCAUUUAAAGUGGUACGCGAGCUGGGUUUAGAACGUCGUGAGACAGUUCGGUCCCUAUCUGCCGUGGGCGCUGGAGAACUGAGGGGGGCUGCUCCUAGUACGAGAGGACCGGAGUGGACGCAUCACUGGUGUUCGGGUUGUCAUGCCAAUGGCACUGCCCGGUAGCUAAAUGCGGAAGAGAUAAGUGCUGAAAGCAUCUAAGCACGAAACUUGCCCCGAGAUGAGUUCUCCCUGAGACUUAGAGUCUCCUGAAGGAACGUUGAAGACGACGACGUUGAUAGGCCGGGUGUGUAAGCGCAGCGAUGCGUUGAGCUAACCGGUACUAAUGAACCGUGAGGCUUAACCUUACA
rnacentral:rRNA from 1 species